rnacentral:rRNA from 1 species
AAUAGAUACCCAGGUAGUCCACGCCGUAAACGUUGGGCGCUAGGUGUGGGGGGCUUUCCACGUCCUCCGUGCCGUAGCUAACGCAUUAAGCGCCCCGCCUGGGGAGUACGGCCGCAAGGCUAAAACUCAAAGGAAUUGACGGGGGCCCGCACAAGCGGCGGAGCAUGUGGAUUAAUUCGAUGCAACGCGAAGAACCUUACCUGGGCUUGACAUACACCAGACGCCGGCAGAGAUGUCGGUUCCCUUGUGGUCGGUAUACAGGUGGUGCAUGGUUGUCGUCAGCUCGUGUCGUGAGAUGUUGGGUUAAGUCCCGCAACGAGCGCAACCCUCGUUCUAUGUUGCCAGCACGUCAUGGUGGGAACUCAUAGGAGACCGCCGGGGUCAACUCGGAGGAAGGUGGGGAUGACGUCAAAUCAUCAUGCCCCUUAUGUCUUGGGCUUCACGCAUGCUACAAUGGCCGAUACAAAGGGCUGCAAUACCGCAAGGUGGAGCGAAUCCCAAAAAGUCGGUCUCAGUUCGGAUUGAGGUCUGC